ACGGGGGGUGCGAGCGUUGUUCGGAAUUAUUGGGCGUAAAGAGCGCGUAGGCGGCUGAAUAAGUCAGAUGUGAAAUCCCUGGGCUUAACCCAGGACGUGCAUUUGAAACUGGUCAGCUAGAGUACGGGAGAGGAAAGUGGAAUUCCUGGUGUAGCGGUGAAAUGCGUAGAUAUCAGGAGGAACACCGGUGGCGAAGGCGGCUUUCUGGCCCGAUACUGACGCUGAUGCGCGAGAGCGUGGGUAGCAAACAG
rnacentral:rRNA from 1 species